AUUGAACGCUGGCGGCAUGCUUUACACAUGCAAGUCGAACGGCAGCGCGGGCUUCGGCCUGGCGGCGAGUGGCGAACGGGUGAGUAAUGCAUCGGAACGUGCCCAGUAGUGGGGGAUAGCCCGGCGAAAGCCGGAUUAAUACCGCAUACGACCUGAGGGUGAAAGCGGGGGACCGAAAGGCCUCGCGCUAUUGGAGCGGCCGAUGUCGGAUUAGCUAGUUGGUGGGGUAAAGGCUUACCAAGGCGACGAUCCGUAGCUGGUCUGAGAGGACGACCAGCCACACUGGGACUGAAGCACGGCCCAGACUCCUACGAGAGGCAGCAAUGGGGAAUUUUUGACAAUGGGGGCAACCCUGAUCCAGCCAUGCCGCGUGCGGGAAGAAGGCCUUCGGGUUGUAAACCGCUUUUGUUCGGGAAGAAAUCCUCUGGGCUAAUACCCCGGGGGGAUGACGGUACCGGAAGAAUAAGCACCGGCUAACUACGUG
rnacentral:rRNA from 1 species